AUAAUAAUAAAAUUAAAAUUAAGGGAAAUUGAUAUGAAUUUACGGAAAACCCGACCCGGCCAAACACACUCUGUUAGUUGCAGUGAAAUGUAGAGAGAGAAAGAAGAGAGAGAGAGAGUUGGGAUUGAAGAAGAUCUCCAUAGCUGCAUCGAAAGCUAUACAUACAAUACAUACGCACAUACAAUCUAUAGCUACAAUCAACACUCUUCAAAAAGAUCCGAAACAAUGCGCAGACCAGGUUUCCAUCACCGGCAGCCUGGGAAACCAGGAGGAGGAGGAGGAGCGGUGAAAGGUACGGUCGGGAGGCUAUCGAUCGCUGUUGUGGUUCUCAUGAUCUGCACUAUUGCUUUCUUGAUUAAUUUCACUAGUAAUGAUAGUACUGGAUCUGUAUCACGUUCCAAGCUAAAUGUAGAAGAACUUUGGGAAAGUGCUGAUUCUGGUGGUUGGAGACCGUCUUCAGCUCCCCGCUCCGAGUGGCUUCCACCGUCAAUUGGAAGCAAUGGUUUCCUACGAGUGCGAUGUAAUGGUGGUCUCAAUCAGCAACGAACUGCAAUCUGUAAUGCGGUUUUAGCUGCAAGAAUCAUGAAUGCAACCCUUGUGCUGCCAGAGUUGGAUGCAAACUCAUUUUGGCAUGAUGACAGCGGUUUCCAUGGUAUCUACGAUGUUGAACAUUUUAUCAAGGCACUGAAAUAUGAUGUGAACAUCGUGGAAAGCAUUCCAGAAAUUAAGAAAAAUGGGAAAACCAAGAAGAUAAAAGCUUUACAGAUUCGUCCUCCUAGGGAUGCUUCAGUUAGUUGGUACACUACAGAGGCUCUAAAGAAAAUGAAAGAACACGGUGCUAUCUACCUUACUCCAUUUUCUCAUCGUUUAGCAGAAGAAAUUGACAACCCAGAGUACCAACGGUUGCGGUGCAGAGUUAACUAUCAUGCUUUAAGAUUUAAGCCACAGAUUAUGAGAUUGAGUCAAUCUAUUGUUGAUAAGCUCCGGACUCAAGGUCAUUUCAUGUCUAUUCAUCUUCGUUUUGAGAUGGAUAUGCUGGCAUUUGCUGGGUGUUUUGAUAUUUUCACUCCUGCUCAGCAAAGAAUACUAAAGAAGUAUCGGGACGAUAAUUUCGCACCAAAAAAGCUGAUAUACAAUGAAAGAAGGGCCAUAGGUAAAUGCCCAUUGACUCCAGAAGAGGUUGGCCUUAUUUUACGUGCAUUGGGCUUCGACAAUUCGACCAGGAUAUACCUAGCAGCCGGUGAACUAUUCGGCGGUGAGAAGUUCAUGAAACCAUUUCGCUCUCUAUUCCCUCACCUUGAGAACCACAAUUCGGUGGAACAAACAGACGAGCUAGCAGGAAACACCCAAGGAUUAUUAGGAUCUGCCGUGGAUUACAUGGUAUGUCUCUUAUCAGACAUUUUCAUGCCUACAUAUGAUGGUCCAAGCAACUUCGCCAACAACCUCCUUGGACACCGUUUGUACUAUGGUUUCCGAACCACCCUCAGACCCGACAGGAAAGGUCUUGCUCCAAUCUUUAUCGAUCGGGAAAAUGGGAAGACAGCAGGUUUUGAAGAAGCUGUUAAGAAAGUCAUGCUCCAAACAAACUUUGGCGGGCCACACAAACGGAUCCCACCCGAAUCUUUCUACACCAAUCCCUGGCCAGAGUGUUUCUGUCAGAUGUCACCAAAGAAUCCAGCUGAUAGAUGUCCCCCAAACAAUGUCCUCGAGAUUCUUAACGACCAGCUUGAAAGUCAGAACGAGAAAGAAUUGAGGAAUGAUACAGAAUCCUCGAACGUAUUAAAUUCUUCGGUGUCUGCUGAAGAAAGAUGAACACUUUGCAAUCGAAAUUAUUGGGUGAUUAAAAUAUUAUGAUACUUCUGAACCCUUGAACCAAACUGAAAAGGAAUGGGUUUUGAAAAGCUUGCUCAGCAUUCAGGUAAUGAGGGAUGUGAAGUAUUAUUAUUAUAGAGGAAUAUAGUACAUGAUUAGGCAGAUACUAACUGAAGAAGAAGUGCAGAAGAACUAUAUUUGAUUAUUACUGCAAAUUUGUUGUGUUUGUUUUUUUGUGUAUUACAUUUAGUUUACCAAAUCUCUUGUCAUUGUUAAAUUAGAGUCUCUUAAACCACACUAUUUUGUAGCUUUGUAUUUUAGUACACUAUUUGUUGUGUUCCUUAUAUAACACGGUUGAAUUACUUGUACUUAGUAUGUUUCAAGUCCCAUGAGAAUGUAUGAGAAUAGUUUGAUAGAGAUUGCUAUAAGGCAACAUGUGGCUAUAGUGGCAUUUGGCUUCCAAUUUCAA